AACGAACGCUGGUGGUAUGCUUAAUACAUGCAAGUCGAACGGGCAUAGCAAUAUGUCAGUGGCAAACGGGUGAGGAAUAUAUAGGAACCUCCCUAGCAGUAAGGAAUAACUUUGGGAAACCAAAGCUAAUGCCAUAUAUUACCCCUUAAGAAAUUAAGGGGGAAAGAUUUAUCGCUGUUAGAUGGGCCUGUAUCAGAUUAGCUAGUUGGUAGGGUAAUGGCCUACCAAGGCAAUGAUCUGUAGCUGGUCUGAGAGGAUGAUCAGCCACACUGGAACUCAGACACGGUCCAGACCGCUACGGGAGGCAGCAGUAGGGAAUAUUGGACAAUGGGCGCAAGCCUGAUCAAGCGAUACCACGUGAGUGAUGAAGGUCUUCGGAUUGUAAAGCUCUUUUAGUAGGGAAGAUAAUGACGGUACCUACAGAAAAAGCACCGGCUAACUUCGUGCCAGCCGCCGCCGUAA
rnacentral:rRNA from 1 species